rnacentral:lncRNA from 10 species
UAAUGAAUGUUUGUUGAGUGACCAAACGACUGAAUUGAUGAGUGGAGAUGGUUGAUCUCUGAAUCUCCUCUGAAUUAUGAGUUUCUUGAGGGCAGGGUAUGAGUCUAAUUAAUCCUCAUGUCUACAGUGCCUCCCAUGUUUGCCACAUGGGAAGCUGAUGGAGUCAGUGACAUGGAGCAUGAGAAUCCCAAGAUGGUUCCUGGGACACGUGUGCAAUGAAUGCAGGAGCCACCUCUAUCAAGUACUUUCACGAAUGAAAUGCAACUCCAGAAGGCAGGCAGGAAUGAUAGAGAGGCUGAGAUGGCAGUGAGGGUGUGAUGGUCCUGGAGUGAGCUUGCGCGUGGCUGUUCAGAUGGUGGGCUUUGC